GAUGAACGCUGGCGGCGUGCCUAAUACAUGCAAGUCGAGCGAACAGAUGAGGAGCUUGCUCCUCUGACGUUAGCGGCGGACGGGUGAGUAACACGUGGAUAACCUACCUAUAAGACUGGGAUAACUUCGGGAAACCGGAGCUAACACCGGAUAAUAUAUUGAACCGCAUGGUUCAAUAGUGAAAGACGGUUUUGCUGUCACUUAUAGAUGGAUCCGCGCCGCAUUAGCUAGUUGGUAAGGUAACGGCUUACCAAGGCAACGAUGCGUAGCCGACCUGAGAGGGUGAUCGGCCACACUGGAACUGAGACACGGUCCAGACUCCUACGGGAGGCAGCAGUAGGGAAUCUUCCGCAAUGGGCGAAAGCCUGACGGAGCAACGCCGCGUGAGUGAUGAAGGUCUUCGGAUCGUAAAACUCUGUUAUUAGGGAAGAACAAAUGUGUAAGUAACUAUGCACGUCUUGACGGUACCUAAUCAGAAAGCCACGGCUAACUACGUG
rnacentral:rRNA from 1 species